AUAAGAGCGUCUGCUAAAUGACUAAAAUGUAAAUGUAAAUGAGAUAUUGCUCACCGCUUCAAUGUGUCUACAUCCAUGGCAAGCAUUGUGAUUAGUCACUGGAUUGACGUGAUGGGUGAACAGUUCAAAGUCCUGAUCCCCUGGCUUCCAAGAGAGACCAUUCGUGCCACCAUGCCCUUGUCGUUUCAGAGGAACUACCCUCGAACCACCUGCAUCAUUGACUGUGCCGAAAGUGCCAUGCAGAGAGCCACAAACCACGACUCAAGGAGUGACACUUUCAGCCAGUAUAAAUCACGCAACACUGUGAAAUAUCUCGUCGCUGUGGCCCCUAAUGGGCUAAUCAUGUUUAUAUCUGAUGCCUAUGUGGCAGAAGCAGCGAUAAGUUUAUCACCAUGGACAGUGGGUUCCUAGACUAUCUGAGGGCUGGUGAUGAGGUCAUGGCGGACCGUGGGUUCACCAUUCGAGACUUGCUUGAUGAGAGAAGGGUCAGUUUGAACAUCCCUGCUUUCACCUACAGGCGCAAUCAGUUGACCAAUGAGGAGACGACACACACCAGGCGAGUAGCCAAUGUCCGCAUACAUGUGGAAAGAGCAAUCCAGAGACUGAAGGUGUUUAAGAUUUUAUCCCAGAAUGUUCCCAUCAGCAUGGCACCGAAACUGGACAACAUCUUAACCAUCUGUGCUGGCCUAGUUAACCUGAAGAGUCCACUGAUCAGUGAGGUUUAGAAUCUUGCCCUGUGUCCCUGUCUACCAACACCCAGCCAUGUUGUUCAUUAAAUACAGAUAAACACAACAAAUA